rnacentral:lncRNA from 1 species
AUUGGCCAAGUAAGUAAGAUCGGUGAGAGGGAUAUGCCAUUAACUUGCCAUAGACUCAAUCUAUGCGAGUAGCUUCCAAUUAAUGACCACCGAUCAAGACUGCCAAACUUAUCUUAGAUAAUAAUUAGUUCAUCAGUUUCAAUUUGGUUUGCCUAAAGAUGAGCUCGACCACUGAGUCAUGAUCGAGAUCCAUCUUGAUCCAAUCAAAGACAUGGACAUGACCAACUACAACUAUUGUAUUGGC